rnacentral:tRNA from 1 species
GGCUUUAUAGCUCAGUGAGCAGAGCAGCAGACUGAAAAUCUGCGUGUCGGUGGUGCAAUUCCGCCUAAAGCCACCA